AGUACGGCGGAACACGAGAAAUUCCGUCGGAAUCCGCGGGGACCAUCCCGCAAGGCUAAAUACUCCCUAGUGACCGAUAGUGAACCAGUACCGUGAGGGAAAGGUGAAAAGCACCCCGGAAGGGGAGUGAAAUAGAUCCUGAAACCGUGUGCCUACAACAAGUCAAAGCUCGUUAAUGAGUGAUGGCGUGCCUUUUGUAGAAUGAACCGGCGAGUUACGAUUGCAUGCGAGGUUAAGUCGAAGAGACGGAGCCGCAGCGAAAGCGAGUCUGAAUAGGGCGAAUGAGUAUGUAGUCGUAGACCCGAAACCAUGUGAUCUACCCAUGUCCAGGUUGAAGGUGCGGUAAAACGCACUGGAGGACCGAACCCACGUACGUUGAAAAGUGCGGGGAUGAGGUGUGGGUAGCGGAGAAAUUCCAAACGAACUUGGAGAUAGCUGGUUCUCUCCGAAAUAGCUUUAGGGCUAGCCUCGGAAUUGAGAAUGAUGGAGGUAGAGCACUGUUUGGACUAGGGGCCCAUCUCGGGUUACCGAAUUCAGAUAAACUCCGAAUGCCAUUCAUUUAUAUCCGGGAGUCAGACUGCGAGUGAUAAGAUCCGUAGUCGAAAGGGAAACAGCCCAGACCACCAGCUAAGGUCCCAAAAUAUAUGUUAAGUGGAAAAGGAUGUGGGGUUGCACAGACAACUAGGAUGUUGGCUUAGAAGCAGCCACCAUUUAAAGAGUGCGUAAUAGCUCACUAGUCGAGUGACCCUGCGCCGAAAAUGUACCGGGGCUAAACAUAUUACCGAAGCUGUGGACUACACCAUUAGGUGUAGUGGUAGGAGAGCGUUCUAAGGGCGUUGAAGGUCGAUCGUGAGGACGGCUGGAGCGCUUAGAAGUGAGAAUGCCGGUAUGAGUAGCGAAAGACAGGUGAGAAUCCUGUCCACCGUAUGACUAAGGUUUCCUGGGGAAGGCUCGUCCGCCCAGGGUUAGUCGGGACCUAAGCCGAGGCCGAUAGGCGUAGGCGAUGGACAACAGGUUGAUAUUCCUGUACCAGUUGUUUUUGUUUGAGCAAUGGAGGGACGCAGUAGGCUAAGGAAUGCAUGCGAUUGGAAGUGCAUGUCCAAGCAAUGAGUCUUGAGUAGAGUUAAAUGCUUUACUCUCUAAGGACAAGUUGUGACGGGGAGCGAAAUAAUAGUAGCGAAGUUCCUGAUGUCACACUGCCAAGAAAAGCUUCUAGUGAGAAAACAACUGCCCGUACCGUAAACCGACACAGGUAGUCGAGGAGAGUAUCCUAAGGUGAGCGAGCGAACUCUCGUUAAGGAACUCGGCAAAAUGACCCCGUAACUUCGGGAGAAGGGGUGCUGACUUC
rnacentral:rRNA from 1 species